GCGGGAAUGCCGGAGCGGUCAAACGGGCGUGACUAAGGAUCACGUGGCUUAGUGUCUGCAGGGGUUCGAAUCCUCUUUCCCGCA
rnacentral:tRNA from 1 species